GGAUAAAGUAGCUUGGUCUUUAUGCUAAUGGGACAAGUGUUUUAAAGCUAAAACUUACCUGGGCUUUAAAUGAGUUUGGAAGUGCCUGCCAGCUGAGGGGUAAAGCUGAAAUUUCACCCGUUUGUCGCUUACUGCAGUUUGCUUGGGUUUUGGGGGAGAGGGAUGAGAUGACAUUGGAUAGGCAAAGCAGUGACAUCAGUCUCCUGGCGUUUAAAAAAAAGUCUCUCCAGUUUCCUCUGUGGUGAGCCAAAUUUUCAGUUUCACAGUUAAGUCUAAACUUAAAGCUUUGUUGGCUGAAAUAAGAACUUUGCGGAAUGACAUUUCUGUUUUCAGGGCUUCUGUUGAGACCAUAUUGCUGGCGUAGGAAUUUAGCUUCAUGGGACAGGAGACAGUUUCCGCUCUAGUGAGUAAUGUUCCCCUAUUUCAGAUGGAAAAACAUUGAAAAUCAUGAUUUUGGCCCUUGAAGAACAGCUAUUCGUGGCUGCCAUGGUUAACUCUGUCUCUAGCUUUGCUUUGGCAACGAAGGUCGAUUUACCACAAUAACAGGGACUUUGAUUUUAUGGCGCUUGACAUCUUAAAAGUUGCUGGAGUGUUUCACAAAUUGGUAAGUAGACCAGACCAAAUAUGCUGACUUCUGAGCAGUGAUCUCAAGAAAACGUGAGGAUGCGUAUAUACAUGUGUGCGCGCGCGCGCGUGUGUGUGUGUGUGUGUGUGUGUGUGUGUCUUGAAUUAUAAAAAACAGGCUCAGGAACGUCCUAGCCAGACAUUUUAGGACCCCGUCUAUAAAAUGUAGACCUGGGAAUAACCACAAGCAUUGGCGGCACCUGGUUUAGGAAGGGCUAUUCCAGCCCUUUUGCUUUCCUCAAGAGAACCUGACCGAGGCCCUCAUGAGCUACUUUGUCACUUCCCAACAUAUUGUCCUGCUGAGCGAAAGAACAUUCUUUGUGGCGGUAAAGAACCUCCCAUAUGACUUUUAUGUUCCCUGCUGUCCCCAGAAUCAAAGUUCAGGUCCUAAGCCUGGGAGGCAGGGCCUCCAUCUGUGUCCUGGCCCCCAUCUCCUGUUCUGGUCUUAAUUCCUGCAUCUCUGGAGGCAGUUAGGCUUUAGUUCGAAACGUCUAUACAAAUCACUUCAUGCUUACUUCAAAGCAAAUGCAGCAUUUCGGUACUAACUGGGAGCCGAACACUUACCUUGUAAGGUUAGAUUAAGGUGUACAUUUAAUGAGCCAGAGGCACAAACUCUUACCUAUUCCAGGGGGCUACUCACAGCAGGAGCCAGUGCAGCGCCACUCAGCAGAGCUGUCCCCAGGGUUGUGAAGAAGGGGCCUGCAGCAAGCCUGGGUUGUGCCAAACCUGGGAAGCCAGUGCUUUCUGUUUCCCUGCCCAUUCAUCCUUGUCCCUGGACUCACAUCGCCAUUCCUGAAGAACUUGCAGGGCAAUAUUAUGCCUACCACUUAAAGGGGACAUUGACAAGCCUGACUAAGGCCCAGCAAGGCCACAUCCACGUCCAGGAGGAGACAGACAGUAGAGUUGGUGCCCCGCUGUCCCAGAAUGGCAUCUGACUCCUGUCUGCCUGUGCUCUUGAAGCCCAUUCCCCCGAGGGGCACUCUCACCUCCUAUUUAAUAUCCUUCGUCUGUCUGGGAAUGAUUUUCACAAAUCAGUGUCCCUGCAGGUAGUUGGAAGGAACAAAUGAGAUAAUUCCCACCAUGUUCUUAGCACAGAGCCUGGCUUGCGGUAAGUGUUCAAUAAAUGUUAGCUGCUGUUAUUAUCGUGAUUACUCACCUGCUCUGUGCUCUACAGAGCGUUAAAUACGCAUGGCACCCUACGUAAACCCUUUACUUCCUGGCCGCCGCCUUUCUCUUUGCCUCAAAACGUCCUUUCUUCUGUCUUUGCCUCCAAACCAUCCCCAUCCUGUUCAGCUUUGCUCAAAUGCCACGCCCCCUGGGGGAGCCUUUUCAGAUUGCUUCCUGCUUCCCUUUCCCAGGCUGGAAACGUGCAUGCUCUCCUGCUCUCCCUCUUCCCUGCCCCAUGCUACUUUACCUUUCCUAGAGCAAGGCUUCUCAGACUUUCUGUGGUCAAGAACCGGCCCCAUUUCCCCCAGUCCAUCAUGGUUCAAUACUUUAUAAAGUACAAUGAGAAAGAAAAAGGCAGUGAAAAAUACAAGCUCCAUUUUUAUGUAUUACAGUUAAUAGACACUAAAUGAUACAAUCACAUAUAUGGGCAAGCUUUUGAAGGCCUACUCUCAGUUUCUGUACUUCUCUUGCCUCAGCAAUGACCAAUUUGAGGACCAGCAUCAGUUCAUGGAGCACACUGGGAAUAGUGCAGUUACAUUAUCCCCGUCUUCACGGGCACAGUUACUCGGGUACAUGUCUAACUCAGUGAACCCAGCCUUCCACACCUGGCGGGAGGCUUUAUACAUACAGGGUUGUGUGAUAAAUUAGUUGAAUUGAAUGAAUGAAUGAAUGAAUAAAUGCACAAUAAAUAUUAAUUGAAUUGAAUGAAUGAAUAAAUGAUUGACUUGCUAAGCAUAUUUAAAACUCAUAGACCUUAGGAAGAAUUUUUCUUAAUGAAUGGCAUGCCAAAGGGAUUAUAACUUUUUUUAUCUUUGCCUUUUAUAAAAUUCACUCAUUUGCGUUGCAUAUUAGACCAAUUCUUUUUCCUUAGUUUUUAAAACAUUUUUUAUUUUCCAUCUCUGCUAGCUAAAUGGAGAUAAGGUUUAUACUUUCAUAAAAAUAAGGGCAUACUUGAUAAAUAUGUUAGGAAAUAAGAUAGGUGAGAAUCUUAAGAAAACCCAUACCUUAUGCUUUAGGAAGAAUCAGUAUUUCUGAAAUGAAUAAUUGCAAAUUAAAGAGCAGAAGAAAGAGAUUAUAUACUUAUAUGUAUAUUAACUUGACAAGAACAGUUACCACUCAAGAACCAUAUUGAAUUACAAAAAGUAAACGUUUAUUUUGUAGUAUUGCCAUCAAUCACCAAAUCAAUAUUAUUUGAAAAGAAAAUCUCCCUACCAAGGUUUUUUUCCUCCUUGAGGAAUGCAGUGGUAAUUCUCAGACUCGCGGCAAAGGAACCAGUGCACCAGAAAGCAUGCCUUCCUUUAAUCACUGUGUCUGUCUCAACCAAACACAAAACCCAGCCCUACCUCUAGAACUACUUAACAAAGGUUUUGAGAUUUGUGGAUAAGCUAUACACAUUCUUCUCCAGAAAUCACACACUGCUGUUGUUCCUUCACUUUAAAAAGAGAAAAUAAAAUAAAAUUGAGACCUGCAAACCAUUCAGCCUUCUUCAUUUUAUUGUGUCACUAUCUCUGGUUCACUUUACUGCAGACUUUCAGACUCACAAUAAUCUCUCCUUUUUGGGGGGGAGGUGUACACUGCAUAGUCAUUCAGGCUGCAGACAUUUAUGGAAGUCUCCUGUGUGUGAAGCAGGAAUGCAGAAGAAAACAAAACACAAGGAAACAAACAUCUAGACACAUGUAGCUGACAGUUACUGCACAAGUCCAGGAGCUCUGCAUUCAUGGGGAAGAAGUACAGUGCAUGCGGAGUAUAGGGAUUGCGUUGUGGACGCUGAUCCAGGUGGAGGACAAGGAGGUCAGGGAAGGUUAGCACAGGGAAGUGACAUUUAAGGUCCGACGUGAAGGAUGAGUAGAAAUUUACCAGGGUAAGUAGUGGGGGAGGAGAGUUCCAGGGCUUGUGGAAAACUCUAUAACCAUCAGCACUCAACAGCUUGUGGCUUUUGUCUACCAGCACGUGGGGUUAUAAAAUAGAAUGCAGUGUGACUCAUAAAUUGACUUAGGUGGGAGUUUCUUAUUUUCCCAGUCACAGAAUUAAAUACAUGUCAUAUAAUCAUGCAUUGCUUAUCAACAAUGAUACUUUCUAAGAGAUGUAUUGUUAAGCAGUUUCUUUGUUGGGGUAACAUAAUAGAGUUACUUACACAACCCUAGAUGCUAUAGUCUACUACACUACCAAACCUAGAUGCUGUAGUCAGAAUAGCCUGUUGCUCUCAGGCUACAA